rnacentral:rRNA from 1 species
AUACGUAGGGUGCGAGCGUUGUCCGGAAUUACUGGGCGUAAAGAGCUCGUAGGUGGUUUGUCGCGUCGUCUGUGAAAUUCCGGGGCUUAACUCCGGGCGUGCAGGCGAUACGGGCAUAACUUGAGUACUGUAGGGGAGACUGGAAUUCCUGGUGUAGCGGUGAAAUGCGCAGAUAUCAGGAGGAACACCGGUGGCGAAGGGGGGUCUCUGGGAAGUAACUGACGCUGAGGAGCGAAAGCAUGGGUAGCGAACAGGAUUAGAUACCCUGGUAGUCCAUGCCGUAAACGGUGGGCGCUAGGUGUAGGGGUCUUCCACGACUUCUGUGCCGUAGCUAACGCAUUAAGCGCCCCGCCUGGGGAGUACGGCCGCAAGGCUAAAACUCAAAUGAAUUGACGGGG